UGGUAAAAGAUGGUCAAGAUACUACAAUGGAUAAUCCGCAGCGAGGCCCUAAGUAUGCUCGGCAUAUAUGGGACACGUUCACAGACUAAGUGUUGUGGGUGGUAUGUCUUGGAAUAUACUGCUUAAGAUAUAGUCGGGCCCUGGUGAAAGCCAAGGGGUAAUUCACUCGUGAAUAUUCAGAGGGUCUCGAUCCUUUGGGUACCCAUAAACCGUUCCGUAGGUGAACCUGCGGAAGGAUCUUACAGAGUUCAUGCCCUCACGGGUAGAUCUCCCACCCUUGAAUAUUUAACCUUAGUUGCUUUGGCAGGCCGUGGAAACACCAUGGGCUCCGGCUUGUCGUGCCUGCCAGAGGAAACAAACUCUGUUUUUAGUGAUGUCUGAGUACUUAUAAUAGUUAAAACUUUCAACAACGGAUCUCUUGGUUCUGGCAUCGAUAAGAACGCAGCGAAAUGCGAUAAGUAAUGUGAAUUGCAGAAUUCAGUGAUCAUCGAAUCUUUGAACGCACAUUGCGCCCCGUGGUAUUCCGCGGGGCAGCCUGUUCGAGCGUCAUUUUAACCCAUCAAGCUUCGGCUUGGACUUGGGCCUGCGGUUUCGCAGCCUCUAAACUCAGUGGCGGUGCUAUUGAGCUCUGGCGUAGUAAUUUUUCUCGCUAUAGGGUCUCGGUAGUUACUUGCCAGUACCCCCAAUUUUUAUCAGGUUGACCUCGGAUCAGGUAGGGAUACCCGCUAACUUAAGCAUAUCAAUAAGCGGAGGA
rnacentral:rRNA from 1 species